GAUAAAUAGUUAUACUAUAACAGAUAAAGCUUAAUCUAACGUAAUUAAGAUUAAUCUCUACAAUGUAAGAUGACUCGAAAUCCACAAGCGAAAGGUUCGACCCUUCGAACGCUUGAGCGAAAUGGUAGGUUAACUGGCAAACGUACGUACGAGUGGAAGGUUUGCAGAAAAACGGAAGAUCGGUUUUUGAGAACGUUCAGCUGCGACGAGUUUCGUUCGACUACGGUAAAAACCUCUUUUGUAAGAUAGAAGGAAAAGGGGAGAGAAGCUUUCACGGAGUUGCUAGGCGAGCUUGUCGAGCAGCAGAAGUGCGUGAACAGCGUAGACCUGGAUUCAAGUGGUGUCGAGGCAGUGCGUUUUAAUUAUGGCCAGCCUGCUUUUCUAACCUUCGUCAAGCACGUCGUGCUAUUAGACCCGAGAUUAUUCCUACUAAUUAUCUUAAUUACGCGUGCCUGCAAACGGUACAGCUAAGCUAAAACCGGCGACCGCGUAUAAUUUGGCAAUUUCGAGUUGAAUAAAAGCCACAAUA
rnacentral:misc_RNA from 1 species